CCGCGGGCCCCCUCGCCGGCGCGCGCGUGCAGGUGUGCGCGCGGCCGUCGAGUGGCUCCUAGG
rnacentral:pre_miRNA from 1 species